GAUGACAUCAGCCUAGAUAAAGCUGAUAAGUGCCUAUACUCAAGAGGGCAGCCAAUAUACAUAGAUCAAGGCAUUCAUUCUCUUCAAGAAACAGAAGGUAGGUUAGCCUAUCCCUGUACCUGCCAAAAACAAGGAGGAUGAUUGAAAGCAAAAUCCCCAUACCUCUUUUCUGGAGUGUUAGCCUUAUUCCAAAGUACAGCCACUUGAUUUUCCCUCUAGUCUGAACUCCAUUUCUCCUCAUGUCCACUUAUAACCCAUGUAUAAUUAAAACCCAGGCUU
rnacentral:lncRNA from 1 species